UCAAUAACCACAGACACAACUUCCCAUAUCCCUUUAAUGGAAGUGCAUCAUUACAUCAGAGGAAAAUUCCUCUUCAUUUAAAUACCACACAAUAUCUGUCUUCCUCCAACCUUCAAGUGUUUAUCCGAAAAAGGUUUAUUGCAAGCACUAACAGAGGCUGUAAAGUUAAGAAUCAUGGAAAAAGAAAAGGUUCGUAUUAUCAUGGGAAGCACCUGAGAUGAACAAGCGCUCAUUCAAGUAUGCAUGGGUUCUUUACAAGCUUAAGGCAGAGCGGGAAAGAGGUAUCAACGUUGAUAUUGCUUUGAGGGAUAAUUCUUUGAGGUUAAUUCUUGGUGUUGUUCUUUCUAUUAUUGCUA